CGCGGUCCUGCUCCGACGGAUGUUGAAUUUUAAUAACAUCGGUUCUCUCAAAUCCAGCGAAUGAAUAGGCAUCAGACUCUUUGUCGGGUGAAUAGUAUUGUAAAGACAGUCGACAUGCACAGAGGCGAGAGAAAGGGAUCCGAGCCGAGCCUGGUGAUACGACGAGGCGAAAUCGGCGUUGUCAGGCGUCCGGAAAAUCGGAAAAGUCAGGAAAGCUGGAAAGAGCCAGGGGAUGUCAGGGUGAGUCUGAAAAAUUUCGGAAAACUUUUACGAGUUGGACGGGAAAGAUUAAUUGACGCGGUAGAAUGACAAAUUCGACUCCAAUACUGUUCGAAUCGUUAUUAAAAAUUACAGCAUAAAAAAGCGAUAACAAUAGGAACAACACAGCUCUUUAACAUUUCCAUUUCUGCUUGUGUGAAUUAACUUUAAUCUAAUUCGUAAAACUAGAAAAAGGUAAGGAUAAGUUAAGCCAAGAUAAAGCUGCAUUGGUAAAAAUAAUAAUACAUUAAGUACACCUUCGUCGCUUUGUCUUCUUUUUUUUUUCCCUCGAUGUUUUUUCGCAAGAUGUCGCAAUCGCAUUUAGAACCUUAUCUCGCGCGUAUGAUCGAAGUGCGAAUAAACUGGAGAAACUCGGGGAAAUCUUCCAAUUAUAUCCGUGCGCGGCGACCUCGGCAGAGCGACGAUACGCGACACCCGUUAGACUAUCACCGAGGAGAAUGACAUAAGACAUCCCCGUUCUGACUCGGGCGCCAUAUGACCGUCUCUGUCGCAAGCUUCGUCCCCGCUCCGGGUACAAGAGGGAGAGAGGGAAGUCUUCUCCUGGCCCCCCUCUUACACCCGCGCCGCUGUCCUCUACAUUCUACUACCGUCAUUCCUUGCCCUCUCACCGGUCUGCCACCUACCACCACCCCCGCACUCCCACCACGUCGGCAUCGGCGCACAACUACCAUCGCAACCGUCACCACUACCAUCACGCUGUGACCAACACAUCGGCAUUACCACCGGCUCGAGAGAGCGGAAGCGAGAGAGACGAUAAAGGAGACGAAAGAAGUCGAAGACGAAAGAGAGACGGAGCGAAGCGGGGGAGAUUACGUGGGAAGGAGAAAAAGAGGGAACAAAGAAGCCAAGAGUAACCCGAGGAGAGAUGAGCAAGAUGGAGGAACAAGGAAACUACGUAUGAGGAGGACGGAGUAACGAGGAGAUAGAGAGAGAGAGAGAGAGAGAGAAGCAGAGAGGGGGGAGGAAGAGACAAAGAGGGAGAACGAGAGAGACAGAGAGGGGGCAACCAGGCAAGCACAAGCAUAGCGUGGCAUGGCACGGCAUAUCCAUAGACAUAUACACUGUGUCUAUGGGCAUAUCGACGAGAUCCGACAGCGGCCGAGCGCCACCGAACACAACCGACUCGGACCCUGCGCGCUCAACCCAAACCCGAGAAAGCAUAGUUGCAUUUAAACUGCCAUCCUACUCAGGAGGUCUCUCUCUUCCUGAGUCCCGAGCGACCUCGGGACGAAUACGUACGUACGUACGGUACGUACGUAAGUCGCCGCGCACUCCGCGGUGUGUGUUAAUGUUACGUCCGCGCUCCGUGUCCGUCUUUCAUCGAAAGAAAAAUGAAGGGCAGGUAGAAGAGUGGAGGAACGAAGGAAGAGAGUUAGACCCAGAAGCGCACAGUCCCGGCAGAGCAGAGCGGUCCGGGGGUUGACCCGGUCGCGCACAGGACACCCGGUCGGUCUGACGUCAGAAGCGCCUUUAACUUGUUGGAUUCGACGCGAGUGCGACGCGAAAGUGAGCCGAUCCGUGAGCGGUUCCGACCAAUUCGGGACGUGGUGAAGGUGCCGGACGGAAUGGAUGGAUGGAUGGAUGGACGGACGGGGACGAGUAGAUGGCUGGAUGUUCCCCUCACUUUCGGACCUGUCGCGACGGAAGGGGGGAAGGCGCGGAGGGCACCCGUUCCCGGUCGGGUUUCCGGUACCCGCGAUGCGGUUACCUUGUCACGCGUUUUCCGCUGGUUCCACCGCUGGUUCGCGUCGUUCGCUUCGUCAUUCGCUUUGUCGGCACUACUGUCACUGUCACUGCGUGCUCGGUUCGGUUCGUUCUCUCCGCUCGUUUCUCGCUCCGCUUUGUGACGCUGUCGCUGUCGCCUCGGCCACUAACUGCCAGCUACGAUGUUAACGAGAUCUCCAGCACUCGGUGUAAAAAAAAAAAGCAUAUAACACGACGUAGCAACGAGCUCAAGGCGAAUAAUAUUCUUGGCCUUUCGGAGGCGAAUGGUACAUGUAUUUCGUCAUCUCUGUUAACUCCUUUUUCGUCGUUUUUUUUGACACUGCUUAGUUUGAGUUUGUAUUUAAUUACAUCGCACUCGCAAGAAAGUGGAAAAUGAAAAUUAUCUCUCUUAUCUACGUUGAAUCGCGGUAUCUAGCAAGUGCGUAAUUCUCUGAUGACGUGUGCGAUGACAACCUUUCUGGAGCGUGAACGUAUAACGACCUUAAUGGACGUUCUAUACGUCUGUCAUGUAGGGACGUAUCUCGUUUUUCAUGAAAUAAGACCCCGCCUGUUCUCUCGCGGAUGCCAGUUAUUUGUCAGUAUCUUUAAUCAUCGUAAAUUAUCAUUGACGACAAUGAGACUGGCAGACAGAUACAGAGUUAGCUCAACUUGCAGCCGCUGGUGCUACAUACGCAUAAGCACAUACACGUACAAGCGACGUUCUUUAAAUCGUUCAAGUACCGAUAAUCAUCGGCCGGCACAUUGUUCGAGAACAUUGAUCCAGGGUCUCUGACUCUCGAUUCGAGAUGGAGAAUUUCUCGUGCACACGUCGAUUUUGGAAUAUAUAUUAUACCGGUCGGAAAUUCUGUGACUUGAGACUUCCGUGUUAUCGCGUCGAGUAGAGUAGUCAUCGUCGUCAGUUCUGAGUGAAUACACGAUUAAGCUCGAACCGGCGAGCCAAAGUUUGGUCUGAAACCGGUGUUCUCGAACCCGGGGGCUAGAUUAUCGUAACCCGUAAGGCACCGCUGUUCGAGUGCCGGCGAACCCACUUCGAGGGUCGAUGACGAGUGUCCGCAUUUUUGACGCGUAACGUAACGCGGACCGAUAGCGCGAUAGCAAGUGAGAAGUUAUAGUUGCACGCGACACGAUAGCGAGACACCAUAACUUGGCGAGUUAUUUCCGGAUCUUGAAACCGAGUACGUACAUCUUUAGAUAACAGUCGAUGAUAUCUAAAGCUAAAGAGAAGUUACGCGAUUGCUAUGAGUUGAUCGAGGAGGACGGUGGUGUCUUGUCCUCCGCACAUUAAUUUCUGAUAAAAAUUCUCGCGAAGGGAGAGCGGAAGGGGACUCAGACGCGCGCCAUGAAAGCAAUCGAUAUUUAAUUACACGGGAUCGACGUAAUAUAUGUGAUGGAUUUUUUUUUUUCGCCCGCGUCUGUCGCGCCGGUUUCUCUCGAAAUUAUUAUCCGCGCACGAACGCUCGUACCAGACUCGUAAACGCAACACGCUGUCACUGUACCGCGACGCGCGUGCAGGGAGCGAGAAAAUAUUUGCCUACGGAAAUAUUUGGACCCGCCGUCGGAGUGAUCGCGCUGUUGCACGUCAGCCAGUAAUCUAGCACCGUGCAUUGGCGGUGGCACUCGAAAAGCACCCGAGUAUAUAUCUAAUACUAAUACCAGUGGCUGUUAACGAGGAUAUUCGUCAUCAUCACUCUCGCGGCGUUAAUCAAUAAGAUUCGCUCGUGGGAUAGAUCCGCGUACGAAAGCGCGGAAAAUUCAGCGGCUGACACGUCCUCAAAUUUGAUUUCUGACGGGGCCGCCCAACAAUAAUUGUCAAUCGCCGCGUCCAAAAUCAAGCUGGCGAUAGUAGUGGUAGUACCUGACGACAGAGAGAGAGAGAGAGAGAGAGAGACCUGCGUGCUACACACGUCUCGCACACAGACACCUAUACACGACACACGCUCUCGUGUUGCCGCGGUACGAUCUUCCCGAAAUUUUUUCUUUUUUUUUUCGACGGCGAUUAAUCACUCUGCCGGUUAACGUAAUCAAUCUCGAUGUCAAUGCGAUUUCGCGUCUCGUCGUUUUUUUUUUUUUUUUUUAACUCGUAGUUGUGUUAACGUCACCGAGAGGGAGAGAGCGAGCGAGCGAGAGAGUGUGCGACCGUGUGGUCGAGGAUGUUCCGGGAAAUUCGUUUCGCGAAAGAGAAUAGCCCGACCGGUGCCAGCGACUUCGGAUCGAAGUUUGGAAACGCUUUUGUUCUCACUGAAAAAGGUGUUUGAAAGAGGGUUGCGCGGAUCGAUAUAUCGGCUUGACUCAUCCCCUCUUUUCGUGCUCUCCCUCCUCCCCUCUCUCUCUCUCUCUCUCUUUCUCUGUCCCUUUCUCUCUGCUCCCGGGAUGAUGUUUCUGCCUAGAUAUCGGCGUGAACAAAUAUACACAGUAUAUACGCGACGAGUAUUCAUUGAUAACUCGCAAUUCCUGUUCGAGUGAGUUUUUUACGAGCGACGAGAAUUACUUUUCGAGAACCGUCGGGGUCAAAUUUUUGCGAGGAUUAAAGUGGGAGGUAAUGUCCGUCGAUCGAUUAAAUCGACGGACGGGGGAAAAAAAAAUCGAUAGGCGUUAAUUAAACCGUCACGCAUUUUAACCCGCGGGGAACCCCACGCGUAAUUGAAUUAUUUAACGACGCGCUAAUACGCGCUCUUGUGCGCAUCGUGUCGUACUUUGCAUGUCAAAUCACGAAUUUGUAAUUAACGUAAUGAAACGUGAAGCUCGGAAGAAGUGUCGGGAAAGAGAGACGGAGAAAGACUAAUGAAUAGUGAUUAGGAGCCUAACGUAAAUUCACCUGCGACCCGGCGCGAGACAAUCGGGCUCUGUGUCGUGGAAAUUAAGCAAGAUUUCCCAACGGCGGCGUGGAAAACGCCGCCGUUCCGAGUGAAUCAUCGUGAUGCACAACGUUUCGUAACUGCCGUCGUCUACGGCGGCUCCGCAAAAUUAUCCUCACCGCGCUCGUUUGUAUCUCGCUCGCUUACAUCGAAUUAUCGCGGUAAUCCCUUUGACACUUGUACCAAAAAUUCCGAGCGUCCUCCUCGCCCGCUUCUUCUCUCUCCCUCCCCCCUCUCUCCUUCCAAAGCUCCGCUGGGGCUCCGCUGGCAAAGUAAAGCGUACCCGCGAUGUAACCCGCCGCCGCCGUACUUGUUGCGUCUAAAACUUCACGAACCGAAAUCUCCCUCUUGCGCAUUCGGCCUCAUAAAUUCGCAAUAACCUGCGAAAUUAGCGAGUGUCCCACGUCGAUGUCGCGAUACGCGGCCCGUAAUUUGCGCACGCAAAACUUCCUCGGAUUAGACUACGGCGGGCGCCUAAUUGAUGCGCGGAUCCCGGCAAAAACGUGUUCGCAGCAAUUUGCGCUAAACGUCCGAACGUUAGUUCGAUAUAUCCGAGCGAAGCGGAGGUAAUUACGCGAGGGUGCACGCGACGAGUGGUUGAAUUUCGUCAGUUGCAACCUCGAUUUACUUUACAGCGCGUAUCAUCGUCAGCCGGACGUUUUUCGACGCAUUUUCGCGUCGCCGCAUUCGGGCUCCACCUUCUUGCGAUAUUUUCGUCCACGGUUUCCUUUUGAUAAUACAACUUUUCCGAUAAUGGGUGGCAUGCCGAGGCAUUUGAAAUGAGAACGAGUAAUAUCGUCUCCUGGGAGGAUCGUGGCAAGUGGGAGGGAAGGGGAACGUUAUGCGUACAAAUGUACGACACUCUCGUCCUCUCGCGGGCCGGCGAAGUGGCAUGGGUUUUGUCCCCGUUCUAGAUUUAUUAUUGCUAUAACAAACGGCCGUGCUUCUCUUUGAGGUCUUUAUUAUUCAAGUAAGAAAGGCACUUGAAGACACGGUUAUUGAAACCCGCGACGAGAGCCAAUGGAAACAAAUUUACUGAAUUACUUUCAGGCACAAAUGCCCUUUGAAGUCCCAAAGCCUCCUUAUUUUGGACGACGGGGUAAAGCUCGCAUAAAUUUAUAUGGCCGCUAGUUACAGCGCGCCAAUAUUUAUUCAACGUGAUCGUAACUCUUAGGCCGGUUAUUCAUAAUCGAUUCUUGUUUCAAGACCGAUCCUAAGAUGCUAAUACGUCUCUACGUUUGGUUUAUGAUAUCCCGAGACAAUAAUGCUCAAGAUGAUCUUAAAAAUACGAGUAUCUUCUUGUCGAGAAAUUGUACUCUCGUUUCCUCUUUUCCUCCGUAAUCGUAGGUUUCCCCAAAAAACGUCGAAUGCUCUUCCCGAUGCAAUUCCUCGUCGAUCUCGAGACUCGACCCGCGCGCGUCUUGGGGCUCCCUUCAUCCCCUCGUUGCGUCACUCGAUGCUAACCGGAAGUGUAACCGCCAAUCCGCAAUUACCAUCCGUAAUUAUUUGUAAAAGCGUUGCGCACAGUGACACCGUGGCUACCUUCGCGUAUACGCGCGGCACAUCGAGAUCAGCAACAUCCGGCGUCGGUCUCCACGCCGGCACGUAGAGCUCGUCUCCGGCAAUCGAUAGACCUGAGUGACCGAGGAAAUUCGCGAGCCGAACCGAAAUUUCAUCCCACGUCGGAAGCGUCGCGAUGUUUGCAGCCGGAGGAGGAAGCGCCUAUCGAUCUGCCUCGACCCAAAAAGAUGUUCCAGAUACGAGCGACUUGAGAGAAGAGAAUGUAUGGCAAUCCCCCAUCAGGCACGCGUAGAAAAAAUCUGGUAAACCAUGCCUCUCUCUCUCUCUCUCUUUCUCAUGGAAGAACAAUACUAUGCGUCUUAAUAACAUCCGAGGAAGCUACUCUUCAAUAAAAUCUUUCAAGAGGAUCAACUUUUACUUCAAAAGUAGUUUAGAUUUAUUUAUAGAUCAUCGAAUUGUAUUUGUACACAGAAAAAAAGAAAUUAAUGUCAAAUCAGAAAUCAUUGUUUUAUAAGCAAGAAUAUAAAAUAUUUAAAGAAUUCGAGAAUCUCAAAUUUUAAUUUAAAAAUAUUAUAUUCUGAUUUGAAUAUUAUAAUAAUUAUUUAAAAGAGCCUUAAUAUGAUUUCAAUAAUAAUAUUAAAAAAUUCUUGGUUAAAGAAUUUUGCUAUUUUUUAACCAAUAUGUUCUAUCAACUCAUGAAAAUUAUUAUUGAACUAAAUGAAAUUAUACAAAAUGUCUUCAUGUAAGUAAAUUAUAUCUUAAGUUUAAUUUCUUAAAAAUUUUAUAUUCUUGCUCGUAUGAGACGUUGAUUUUUUUACUUUUUUUUUUUCUGUAUAAGAGCGAAAUCGGAGAUGUGUACCGGAAAGCAUAAGCGAGAGAAACCUUUGUUUUAAAGGAGAACAUGGAGAAAAACAUUUUAAUAUCUUUGCUCAUACUUGUCUGAAACAUUUACCGCAGCGGCGAGCAAAAAACAUUCGCUCCGUUUUAUUCAUACAAGACCCGUUGUUGCUACGUCCAACGUCAACGCUGGGAGAUCGAGAGGAGCACCGAAGAAACGGAAAAAUGUUGGGCGUUACAGGCGGGCCUGACUCUUUGCUCGGCCCGUACUUUUAACGUUGGGUGAGCAAAGUUUCAGGUGUGUUUGUGUCGCAACGUAACGACGUAACGUUGCGCGAAAGGGAAUAGCCCUUUUACACGAUCAUCAUCGAGCCGGCGCGUCUUGACGGUACUCUUACGCCUGAAAUUUGCUUUUUUUACCUGGCCUCUGCGCUCUCUCACUUGGAGAAAAUAAAGGUGAGCAAAGUUUCAGGUGUGUGAGUGCGUUAAAUUUGCCGGCGCGCCGACACGCCGCCGUUUAAAUCCCGUACACGAUUCGCAAUGGCCGCCAAAAGACAAUUCGCUCGAUACGGCCGCUAAUUAAAGUCAUUGUAAUUUCUCAAAAGCGACGAACAAAAGGACAUGCGAUUGGAUUGUUUUGCGAUAACAUGAUAUUAUUGUUCGAUAAAUUACCCUGACUAUACCACGGCGAUAUGCAGGCACGCAGGCAGGAUCAACUGAAUUAAUUAAUUAAAUUGAACUUUAUUACGCAAUAAUUAGCUGUUGUUUAUCUGGAUAUUUCCAAUGCUGUUAUCGAUAUGAUAUAUGUAUAUAAUAUUUAAAGAUAUGAGAAUUCGCAUCCGAUUCAACUUUUAUUGGCAUUCUCGUGAAUAAAUUACAUUACGAUUGUUGAAUUGUCAUGCGUAAAAUAUAAUAAAUUAAUGAAAAAUUGUGCAACAGAUAACAUGCAAAUACAAAGAUCUACGAUUAUUUGAUCACAGCGUUGAAGACUAAUGAAAAAAUUGUUUUCCCUUAUUGCUAAUAUUACAAAUCGCACAUACACACAUAUAUGAUGUAUGUAUAUAUAUAUAUUUUUUUGUGAAUAUAAUAAAAUAUAAUAAAAUACAAAUAAAUACACUGAUCGUCUGGCGACUCACUUUCGUUUGAUGUCUCACUUUAAAAAAAGGAUUAAUUGCUGCGAAUUUAAAAUGGGCCAGAUUAAACACGGGAAUAAAUUUUCGGAAAAUGGGAAAUUUAUUCGCUGUAAUAUCCUAUAAUUACAUUUCUCUCUAUGUGUACAGAAAAAUUUUUUUCCAAACUCAGUAGCUGUUGCUACAGCACACGUUUUACUUUAUUCAUUCCUUCUGUAUUUGACUUCCUAUGUUGAUUAAUAAUUUGUUGAUUAAAAAGCAAAUAGACGGAGUUUUUUCACGAAUGAACAACAAAUUAAAUGUGAAUUUUAAUCUUGAAAUGUACAUGAAAGCUGGCAAGCUUCUCCGAAAUAUUCUCCAAUUAAACAAAGUAAUAAAAAAUUGAAAUGUAUAUGUAUUAAAUUUAUUAAGAGUGACAUGUUUAUUUAUUACACAUAAUGGAUUUCCUCCAAAGAUAUUUUAAAUUAUUCUCUUGUACAUCGAUAAAUGUAAAAUAAUGUAAAAUAAUUAUUGCUAUUGCAUUUAUGAAUAAGUUUAAUCUUACGUUUAUUCAAGACCAUUUAGAUUAAUGCUAUUAAUUUACAUUAAUUAUAAAAUAAUCAAUUAUGUAAUAUUAAACACGCAUGUAAUAUAAAAUCGCACGAUAUGUUAUUACUGUUAUGAAAGCAAUAAAAAGUAUUAAAUAAAUAUUAAACUUGUUAAGAACA